rnacentral:rRNA from 1 species
AUUGAACGCUGGCGGCAGGCUUAACACAUGCAAGUCGAACGAGUGGCGGACGGGUGAGUAAUGCUUGGGAAUCUGGCUUAUGGAGGGGGAUAACGACGGGAAACUGUCGCUAAUACCGCGUCCCAUAGGAUGAGCCCAAGUGGGAUUAGGUAGUUGGUGGGGUAAUGGCCUACCAAGCCGACGAUCUCUAGCUGGUCUGAGAGGAUGAACGGCCACAUUGGGACUGAGACACGGCCCAGACUCCUACGGGAGGCAGCAGUGGGGAAUCUUCCGCAAUGGACGAAAGUUGACGGAGCAACGCCGCGUGAGUGAUGACGGCCUUCGGGUUGUAAAGUUCUUUCGGUGACGAGGCGUUAAUCACAGAAGAAGCACCGGCUAACUCCGUGCCAGCAGCCGCGGUAAUAC